UCGAGCGGAAACGAGUUAUCUGAACCUUCGGGGGACGAUAACGGCGUCGAGCGGCGGACGGGUGAGUAAUGCCUGGGAAAUUGCCCUGAUGUGGGGGAUAACCAUUGGAAACGAUGGCUAAUACCGCAUAACAGCUUCGGCUCAAAGAGGGGGACCUUCGGGCCUCUCGCGUCAGGAUAUGCCCAGGUGGGAUUAGCUAGUUGGUGAGGUAAGGGCUCACCAAGGCGACGAUCCCUAGCUGGUCUGAGAGGAUGAUCAGCCACACUGGAACUGAGACACGGUCCAGACUCCUACGGGAGGCAGCAGUGGGGAAUAUUGCACAAUGGGCGCAAGCCUGAUGCAGCCAUGCCGCGUGUAUGAAGAAGGCCUUCGGGUUGUAAAGUACUUUCAGCAGUGAGGAAGGUUCAUGCGUUAAUAGCGUAUGGAUUUGACGUUAGCUGCAGAAGAAGCACCGGCUAACUCCGUGCCAGCAGCCGCGGUAAUACGGAGGGUGCGAGCGUUAAUCGGAAUUACUGGGCGUAAAGCGCAUGCAGGUGGUUUGUUAAGUCAGAUGUGAAAGCCCGGGGCUCAACCUCGGAACUGCAUUUGAAACUGGCAGACUAGAGUACUGUAGAGGGGGGUAGAAUUUCAGGUGU
rnacentral:rRNA from 1 species